AACGUAGGACACAAGCGUUAUCCGGAGUUACUGGGCGUAAAGGGCGUUUAGGCGGGUGAUUAAGUUCGCUAUGAAAGCGCCAGGCUAAACCUGGCGAGGCUGGCGGAUACUGGUCAUCUGGAGUGAGUCAGAGGAAGGUAGAAUUCCGCGUGUAGUGGUGAAAUGCGUAGAGAUGCGGAGGAAUACCAGUGGCGAAGGCGGCCUUCUGGGACUCAACUGACGCUGAAGCGCGAAAGCACGGGGAGCGAACGGG
rnacentral:rRNA from 1 species